rnacentral:rRNA from 1 species
CCUACGGGUGGCAGCAGUGAGGAAUAUUGGUCAAUGGGCGCGAGCCUGACCCAGCAACGUCGCGUGAAGGAUGAAUGCUCUACGGGUUGUAACCUCCUUUUAUAAAGGAAUACAGUGAGGCACGUGUGCCUUUUUGUAUGUACUUUAUGACUAAGGAUCGGCUAACUCCGUGCCAGCAGCCGCGGUAAUACGUAGGAUUCGAGCGUUAUACGGAUUUAUUGGGUUUAAAGGGAGCGUAGAUGGGGUGGUAAGUCAGUUGUGAAAGGUUGGGGCUCAACCGUAAAAUUGCAAUUGAUACUGGCAGUCUUGAGUACAGUUGAGGUAGGCGGAAUUCGUGGUGUAGCGGUGAAAUGCUUAGAUAUCACGAAGAACUCCGAUUGCGAAGGCAGAUUACUAAACAGCCACUGACAUUGAUGCGCGAAAGUGUGGGGAGCAAACAGGAUUAGAGACCCGAGUAGUC